AGCAGCCUCGCUGGGGCCCCCUGACUGCCCCGCCCGGCCAGGCUAUGCCCUCCCACAUGGCUGGCUAGGCUCCCAGGCAGCGCCCAGCUUCUCCCUGCCAGUUGAAGACGCGUCCGGCCCGGCGGGCACCAAGAGCACGGAAAGCAUUGCACAUGGCCCCCCAAUAACUCCCACCCAAGACCCGUGCUCCCGACCCCUCCGCGGAGGGAGAUGGCCCUGAGGGGACGCCUGGUGAUGCCCGGUCGCUGCGCCACCACGCAAAGCCGAGGCUUGAGCGCAGCCGGCACCUGCUCUGUGCGCCGGGCGCUGCCAUCCCCACUGCUCUCGCCACCCCUGGGCUGGAGACAAAGCGCAUGAGCCACGCGCGUGGCAGCGCGAGCAUCAUUAAUCAGAGAGGAAACUGGCGCGCUGCCCCGGCCCCGCCACCCUACCUCUCCCUCCCAGCCAUCAGGAGCGCCCCGGAGCCCAGCCCUUGCCUACCUCGCUGGGGUACCACCUCCAGUCUUAGGGAUCUUUGGCCAGAGCUUCUGGCGCUCUGGUACCCCGCUCUUACUCUCCGGGGCCAAGUGCAGAAAACAGCCCAGGGCAGCAACACCUCACCCCACCCAAGAAAUAAUUCUCAGCCCUGAGCUCUCAGAUGCCCAGGCUUUAGAGCUGAGACAGACCACAAGUCCAGCUGCUCAGCGAGGCUGGUCGUCUGAAUGCAAGACCGCCCAGAUCACAGCCGCCUCCUGCCCCGCUGGGCGCUGAUGCGCUGACUGAGAGAAACCGAGCACUGCAGAACCCAGAGGGGGCACACUACCAAGAGGAGGAAAAAGUACAGUGAAGAGUGAAUAAAUUUCCGGAAUACCACCCACCCGCGAGCGACUACACAUGCUACUUUCCUGACAGCAUAGGUCACCAGCCAAGAAAGUCCAUUCUAGCUUCCUACCCCCAGCUGAGAGCAAGGCAUUGGAUUCUGGGCUUCUUGGCUGGGUUGUUAUUAAUGGGUAGCAAAAUUAUAGUUGUGUACUUCUGUGUGCAACUGCCAAAGCUCGUUUUAACAAUCUCCAAUAGCCGAGCUUCUGAAGUGCAGACAGUGAGUUAACUGUGGAUCUGCUGCAAUGCACAAUACAUUG